rnacentral:rRNA from 1 species
UACGUAGGGGGCAAGCGUUGUCCGGAUUCAUUGGGCGUAAAGAGCGUGUAGGCGGCCAGGUAGGUCGGUUGUAAAAACUGGAGGCUCAACCUUCAGAGGUCGACCGAAACCAUCUGGCUAGAGUCCGGGAGAGGAGAGUGGAAUUCCUGGUGUAGCGGUGAAAUGCGCAGAUAUCAGGAAGAACACCCGUGGCGAAAGCGGCUCUCUGGAACGGUACUGACGCUGAGGAGCGAAAGCGUGGGGAGCGAACAGG